GAUGAACGCUAGCGGCAGGCCUAAUACAUGCAAGUCGAACGGUAAGGCCCUUUCGGGGGUACACGAGUGGCGGACGGGUGCGUAACGCGUAUGCAACCUACCUUUCAGCGGGGGAUAGCCUAGAGAAAUUUAGAUUAAUACCCCAUGGCAUCUUUAAACUGCAUGGUUUGAAGAUUAAAGAUUUAUCACUGAAAGAUGGGCAUGCGUGACAUUAGCUAGUUGGUGAGGUAAUGGCUCACCAAGGCGACGAUGUCUAGCUGGUCUGAGAGGAUGAUCAGCCACACUGGGACUGAGACACGGCCCAGACUCCUACGGGAGGCAGCAGUAGGGAAUAUUGGACAAUGGGCGCAAGCCUGAUCCAGCCAUGCCGCGUGAAGGAAGACGGCCCUCCGGGUUGUAAACUUCUUUUAGCAGGGAAUAAACCCCUUCUAUAUGAUAGGUUGAAGGUACCUGCAGAAUAAGCACCGGCUAACUCCG
rnacentral:rRNA from 1 species